AGAGUUUGAUCAUGGCUCAGAUUGAACGCUGGCGGCAUGCUUUACACAUGCAAGUCGAACGGCAGCGCGGGGCAACCCUGGCGGCGAGCGGCGAACGGGUGAGGAAUACAUCGGAACGUGCCCGAGAUGGGGGAUAACGCCGCGAAAGCGGCGCUAAUACCGCAUAUUCUCUGAGGAGGAAAGUGGGGGACCGCAAGGCCUCACGCUCACGGAGCGGCCGAUGUCGGAUUAGCUAGUUGGUGGGGUAAAGGCUUACCAAGGCGACGAUCCGUAGCUGGUCUGAGAGGAUGAUCAGCCACACUGGGACUGAGACACGGCCCAGACUCCUACGGGAGGCAGCAGUGGGGAAUUUUGGACAAUGGGGCAACCCUGAUCCAGCCAUGCCGCGUGCGGGAAGAAGGCCUUCGGGUUGUAAACCGCUUUUAACCGGGAAGAAAAGGCAUCUCUUAAUACGGGGUGUUCUUGACGGUACCGGUGGAAUAAGCACCGGCUAACUACGUG
rnacentral:rRNA from 1 species